UACGUAGGGGGCGAGCGUUAUCCGGAUUUACUGGGUUUAAAGGGUGCGUAGGUGGGUAGGUAAGUCAGUGGUGAAAUCUUCAAGCUUAACUUGGAAACUGCCAUUGAUACUAUUUAUCUUGAAUACUUUGGAGGUAAGCGGAAUAUGUCAUGUAGCGGUGAAAUGCUUAGAUAUGACAUAGAACACCAAUUGCGAAGGCAGCUUACUACACAGUUAUUGACACUGAGGCACGAAAGCGUGGGGAUCAAACAGG
rnacentral:rRNA from 1 species